GUUAGUUUUGAGACUAACUAGGGAGAAGGUGAGAGCCAAGUGACAGAAAAUUAGCAGAGCUUGAUGCUCUUGUUAGAAGUUCAGGCCUCUCCCAUAUGUAAACUUACUGAGCCAUCAGAGAAAUUCCUUGCCCAUUUCCUUUCCAGCUGACCUCGGGGUGGGGUGGGGGGGACGGUUACAGAGAUGCUCUGAGAAGCCAGGCUGCCUGGGGACAGGCUGAGCAGCCCCAAUAGCUUCGUAAAGUGUGUGAUGGGCAUACUGGUACCCACGUUAAUUGUGAGGACCACCCAUGCCCCCGAGGAUGGCAGGAACCGGUGGGGUCAGAACCAUGUCGUAGCGGUUUCAGGGUACUGCUCCCUGAAUUAACAUAACAUUACCCCUUAUAAGUACGGCACGGUAGCUCUCACAAGUUAUUCCACCAAGCGGCAGUUAGUAAUCAUUAUCCUCACUUGCACAGAUGAGGAAACAAGGCCCAGAGAGAUUAAGUGACUUGCCCAAGGUCGCACAGCAAGUUAGUGGCAAAGGCCAGAUUAGAACCCUGAGCCCCAAGGUGCCCAGGCCGCCGGCGGGCAGCUCCAUGAGAUCCCUCAGCCAUCAGUCCAGAGCAUGGGCAGAGCCAGGUCUGCACCCUCGGGAGCCGUGGAGGCCGGGUGAGCUGCUGCAGAGGGCACAGGCAGGCUCAUACUCACAGGCAGAAACCUGCAGCAUCCUUCUCUGCACCACCAGACAGCAACACCCCUGUGCUGGAACAGACAGAAACAAGGCUCAAGUCGGGAAAGCCAAAGGCGGCCACUGUGGGCCUGCAUCUCCGCUUCUGGAAUCUGGCUUUGAGAUCCUGCCUCCUUUCCCUUUGUGACCCAGGUCGGCUCUCGAGGACAGAACUGGGAGACGAGAGGCUCUUGUUGCCUGGGAUGCAUUCAUUCACUCUUUGACCCCCAUCAUGUCCAGGGCACUUACUCUAUGCCUGGCAGGGCCCUAGGGGCUGAGGAGGAGGGAGCCUUGGAGGAGAAAGACAUCCUUGGCUUGAUCAGGUUUCAGGAGAAACAGACAAAGAGACAGAUCACGGUAAGACAAUGUGACUUUAAUUCAACAAAUAUUUGUUGGGCCCUUACAAUAUGCUCUACCUAAAACAGGGGGGGAACUAUGGAGCCACUCUGGGAAGGCUUCCUGGAGGAGGAGGCCUGUGGGUUAAGUCCUGAAGAUUGAGGAGAGGUUCACUGAGGGGCUAAUCCCUUCCUGGCUAAAGGGACACGGAUGAGGAAGGGGUCUGAAACUGCUUUGAGGACUUCUUUCUAAAUCAGCCCUUGCUCAUAUGAGAACAGGAAUUCUACCCUUUUGAAACCCAGUUCUCAGGGACUCCUUAUCUUGUCUCUGACUGUCUGAGUGGUUCCUUAAUCUCUUUAGGCCUCCGUGGACCUGUGUCUCCAACGGGAGUGAAAAAAGUCCUGUGUUUCAGAGCGUGAUUCCAGGCUUUGGAGAAAAGUCCUUGAGAAACAAAUUCCCCAUGCGGCCGAUGGCAUCCUCCUGCCAUCGCUCGCCACUUACAACAGGAAAUUGGUUGUAUUUAUAAGAAUCACAAGCCUAAACGGGCCUCUGCUGGGCUACCUGCAGCCCCCCCCCACCCCAUUCCCCUCUCUCCCCAAGUCACACAUCCUCCCUCCAAGAUUCCUCAGGGACCACAGGGCAAGUAGUGCGGAGAGUUGCUCAUAAAGCCGAUGAGCGAGCACUGGAAGUUAUUUUCUAGAUGAGGAAACCGAGGCCGUGGGUCUUCUGGUUCCCAAGCCGCUGCCUCUUCAUUGCACCCCGACUGCUCUCAGCCUGGGCUCCUCCGGCAGACGUGCCAUCCUCCCUUGGCUGGGGGAAAGUCUCCCUCCUCUGGAUGACACACGUCUUUAGAGAAACAUUUCCCACCAUUAAAGGGAUUUGGAAGAAAACUGGUGCAGCUUCCUUGGCUUUGAAGCGCGGUGGCCCCUCCUGGCCCUUUAAUUGUGCUUGGAACCAGCCCAGUUCCCAGAGCUCCCGCCCCUUCAGAAGAGGGGAAGGGCUCAGAGCCCUCCUGGCCUUUCUGCACCAAAGGUGACCUCUCAGUUCUUGUUUCAGGCCAUUUCAUUGCCAAAGCAUCAAGGGCUCCCACACAAAGAGCUUCAAAGCUAGGAGGGCUCAGGGUCAAGUACAACCAUGAGCAAACCCUGAGCUUUGGAUUCUGAAGCAUCGCCUUUGAGACCGUGUUCCAGCAGAGUUCCCACAGCCUUUUAAAGCCUAUAAUAGCUUCAGGUGAGUGACAUUCGAUUUCUGCAGCUAUCACACAAUUUGGCUAAACCACAUCAGGUGAGCAUGGAGGGAGUAUCCGUUUCAUGCCACACUUGCUCUUAAUUUUCCAAGCGAGGAAGGUGUGUAUAUAAUUAUCUUUCUUCAAUAGCUCUCAGUGUUGGCUACUCAUGAGAAUCAUCUGAAGAGCUUUAAAAACUAAAGGCUCUAAGUGGAACCCCUAGACCAAUUAAAUCAGAAUGUCUUGGGUGGAGCCUCUAUACAACCAUACUUGUUAAAGCGCCCCCAAUGGUUCCCACGGGUGACUAAGGUUAAAGAAGCACUGCCUUAAGUAGGACGUUAACAGGGAAAAACCUGAACUCCCAGGCAUGGGAAAAACCUGAACUCCCACCCAUACAGGUGAUGUUUCCGAAGGCAAAAUGAAGAUCAACCCCGUUCAUCUUUUACUUAAUUUUUCGUUUUCAGACCUUCCCUGACCACCGAUCUCAUGAUUCCCAUAUAAGCUUUCAAGUAUUUUUACUAGCUUGACUCUUUCCAGCUCACCUCCACCUUCCAGUGCCCUAGAACGAAGUGCCCUCUCCUGGGAAUCAGGUGAUCUGACUCAGAAACCAAAGAACACGGAAAAAGAAUGAUUACGCUUUCAACCAAUUACUGUCAUCCAAAUUACAGUGACUAUCUCACCCCUGCCUGUUUGGAUCCAAGUGUGAUGCAAUUUCAGGAAGCUUUGGCGUGGAUGUUCCAAGAGCAAUCCACAGAUAGUAGGUCAGUCACAUUUGGCCCUGGACACAGUCACCAGCUGGAGGAGCAGUAGGAACCAGAAGCCUUGACCAUGUGGUGUGAGUUCAGCCAAUGGGCUCACAGACAGUGAUACAAGGAUGCCCUUGGGAGAUUCAUAAAUAUGUAAACAUCCAAGGAUGGGAACCGACUCAAGGGACUUCAGAGGACUGAGCACAGCUUAUACCAUGCCAAAGAGAACCAGGUACAAGAGAUGGCAACUCUACCAUCUCUUUCUAGGACAGCUCUUAUAAAAGUCCCACCUCUUUGGGGAAGACAAUCCACUUACUCUCUCCACCGCCACCUUGGUUUUGCUUAAGAGAAGCAUGGCUGUCACAGUGGCUCAGAAGGGAUGAGGAGCAAGCCUGGAGAUGUUUCUGCCUCACACACCAGGGAGUGGUCCAAACGCUCUUUACCUCCAGACACUUCUUUACAUCUUACAGAGCAACGGAAAAUCAGCCCAGAACCUACAGAUGAUAGGCUCGUUUUGGAGAUGUACAGUACGUGACAUGCAGGCGGGGGAACAUGGAAAACAAUUUCUCCUACAAAUUAAACACUUGAGACUCUGGAGCUGGUGAUGAGGCGUUCUACCUAUGUGGGAGGAGGGAGAGCUCAAAAAAAUGGGCAUUUAGAAACAGAAGGAGGUGUUUAAAUAACAAAUGUUAGAAAUGUCACAAAUAAUUCUUUACGAUUUUUACAUAUGUUCUGAAAGCCCAAGUAUAUCCUGCUUUUCCAUUUAAUUUUGUUGUUCAGACCACCAUACCUAGUCAUUCCAUAAUUGUUCUAUCUUCCAAAAAAAAAAAAAAAAAAAAGCCCACAAUCUCAGACCAGCAAGAGGAGACCACAGAUAGUAGUAUUUUGGCUGAUGGUUCAACAUGCUUAAUUUUGCACAGAUCGACUUUCCAAUUCUAUGAGUAUUCAAAGCACAACUCAUCUUCUCAAGUGAACGGGGACAUCCACAUCCUUCAGAGGCAAGGCAGGUGGGGCAAAUCCCCAGAUUCCUCAGCUGAAAGGUAUAGUAAACACAUCAGUAGGCCCUUCCCCAGUGAAACCUGCAGAGAAGAUUUUUCUCCAGAAUUAAGCACUAAAGGCUGAGUCGGAUUAGCCUCUGCAAUCCAGAUAACUCUCAAAUGCAUCCACGGAGCACUCUGAUUUACUGCAAAAUGAGGAGGCAGAGACAUGUGUUACCAAAAACAUAUCACACUGAACUGGAAACCAAAUUUCUUCAGUUGGCAAAAAAAAAAAAACCUCUUCGGGAUGGUGGAGGGUGGAAGGAUUUUAAACUUUCAAAAGAUUUACCAAGAAGACUUUCGCAGGUUAAGGGUCAAGUCAAAAGGUAUUCAUUUAAAAACUUUCUGAUAAUAACUGGGCACUGGGAAAGCCUAUCCAGAGUGUCAUCCUUUGCCCUAACUCAGCAAGAUUAAUAUACUGAUUUGAGAAAGGAGCUUGCAAGCUGGACCGACAGUCAGGAGCUAACACGAUUCAGGAAGGGCAGGCUCCGAGCUAGAAGGGACCCUUGGGGAGGCAACUCGAGUCUUGAUUUCCCUGUGAGGGUCCCUCCCAAAGGGCAGGAGGAGGGGGACCCAGUGGGGGAGGGAGCCGCAAACGGCCAUUCUAGAAGGAGAGGGGCUGGGGCUUCUUCAACUGUUCUGAGAGUACAGAAGGACGCAUUCAGCCAUUCAGGCAUAAAACUGACGUGAUCUACGCAGAAUUUGAGGGGAAAAAAAAAAAAACAACUCAGAAAUGUGAAGAGAGGCUCCAGAGAGGGUUCAUAGGAAAAAUUAAAAAAAAAGGAAGGUUGCCAACGAACUUAACCCUGUUUCCCCAGCUAGCUUCUGUGCUCUUGGCAAAGACCCUCCCUUUAUACGUGAGGCCCUAAGAUUUAGGUCUUUCACCCUCACCUGUAACCAGGUGACCCAGAAGAGAAAAAACAAUGAGAAAAAUCAAAAGAUUCAGCUAGUUUAGGGAACUAGAGCCGAUCCCCCAAAGUUUAUGUCAGCUCAGAAACGAGAAACCACUGGGCGUGAGAUGCCUUGGGAAUCUGAGCGGUUCUCCUUUAUUUCGCUCCCAGGGGAAAACAAAUUUAGAAACAGUAUUUCCUUUUGCAGGUUUGGCGGAGUCCAGGACAAGAAAGUGCAAGAAGCUUUCCCAAAGGAAAGGAGUUGGGGUGGGGGGUGGGCGUGCCCGCAGCGUCGCGCUUCAGGGCCAGCUCUUUAACCUCCUUUUCCAAAAGCUGUGCAAUCCAAGGCUUCUAGACACCAGCCCCAGGGCUCCGAGCACGGGUGCGAGCCGGGCACAGCCGGCACAACCCGGGCCGGCCCGCCCACCAGGGUUUGGCCAAGAUCCACGGCCCAGGCCAAGUCUCUUAACUCGCCCAGCUGCGCACUACCUAAGCCCUCGGGCGGAGACGCGCUGCACCUGCCGGGCACCCCUCUCGGGCCCAGUCCCUGCACCCCGCCCCUGCUUGGGGGUAAGGGUACGGAGAAGGGCUCGGAGACAGACGGUUACCGGCGCGGCGGGACAUAAGGGUGGUUCCACCAAGCCGAGAGCGGAGCUGCGCGCCCACUCUACCCCAUCUAACCGCCCAAGCGCAUCCCCUCGCAGGCUCUUUUUCGGCGGCUGCAGGACGCCCUCCAUUCCGGCUGGCAGCCCGGGUGAGAGGCCCCAGCAACCCGCCCCUUUGCCCUGCCAAGCAGCCCCGCACUGUUCUGACCUCACUGGGGAACUCCUCCGCCCCCAGCAUCUUUCCGAGACCGCCGAAGCGUGGGGGGGGGGGCCGGUGGUCUCCAAGCGCACCCCGGGUCCUCUAGCAGGUGAGAAGCCUCGCCACGUCGACCCCCCAGCCUCCGCGCCAAGGAGGAUCAAAGGGCCCGGGCCGCAGCCGCCACCUAAGAGCCCGCUGGGCUGGCCUGCGGCGCCCCGGUGGCCCGAGUCUUCGGCCCAGGUCCGGGCUGGGCGGGGGCGGCCGGCCUUGCUCACCUGAGCCCUAGAGGGACGCGAGACGCUCGCAGUGACGCCCCCCGCUAUCCCCAGCCCUGCUUUCCCGCGCCGCGAGAGGCAAGAAACGGGUGGAGGCUCCCCGCGCGGGGACCCGCGUCCUCACCUUUGAACCGCUCCAUCGGGGCCGCGGCGUGCGCUCCUCGCGGCUCCGCUCUGGCGCUGCGCUCUCGGCUCUCGGCUCCGCGCCCAGGGCGGCCGCGCUGGCCCCUCCCCGUGAGGUCACGCUCGCGGCCGGACCUCCUGGCGCGGCCGCCGCGCCCGGGGCCCUCGGACCCGGUACCCGCUCGGAGCGCCGCCCACGCCGGGGAACUCCGCGGCAGACCCGACGGACAAUCAGCGCACACGUCU
rnacentral:lncRNA from 1 species